rnacentral:rRNA from 1 species
GGCCGUCGUCAGUUCGUACUGUGAAGCAUCCUGUUAAGUCAGGCAACGAGCGAGACCCACGCCCACAGUUGCCAGCGUACUCUCUGGAGUGACGGGUACACUGUGGGACCGCCGCUGCUAAAGCGGAGGAAGGAAUGGGCAACGGUAGGUCAGUAUGCCCCGAAUAUCCCGGGCUACACGCGAGCUACAAUGGUUGGUACAAUGGGUAUCUACCCCGAAAGGGGACGGGAAUCUCCUAAAACCAAUCUUAGUUCGGAUUGAGGGCUGCAACUCGCCCUCAUGAAGCUGGAAUCCGUAGUAAUCGCGUUUCAACAGAACGCGGUCGAAUACCGUCCCUGCUCCUU